UGCCAGACUCCUACGGGAGGCAGCAGUGGGGAAUAUUGCACAAUGGGGGAAACCCUGAUGCAGCAACGCCGCGUGAGUGAAGAAGUAUUUCGGUAUGUAAAGCUCUAUCAGCAGGGAAGAAGAUGACGGUACCUGAUUAAGAAGCCCCGGCUAACUACGUGCCAGCAGCCGCGGUAAUACGUAGGGGGCAAGCGUUAUCCGGAUUUACUGGGUGUAAAGGGAGCGCAGACGGCAGUGCAAGUCUGAAGUGAAAGCCCCGGGCUUAACCCGGGAACUGCUUUGGAAACUGUACGGCUGGAGUGCUGGAGAGGUAAGCGGAAUUCCUAGUGUAGCGGUGAAAUGCGUAGAUAUUAGGAGGAACACCAGUGGCGAAGGCGGCUUACUGGACAGUAACUGACGUUGAGGCUCGAAAGCGUGGGGAGCAAACAGGAUUAGAUCCCCUCGUA
rnacentral:rRNA from 1 species